GCCAACUUUAUUUCAUGCAAAACAAGAUAAGAGAUAAGAAUAAAACUAUAGUGCCAUGAAAAAAACUAGUGCCUCAUUUGUUCUAGCUGUCCUUGUAGUAGCAACAUUUCUGAAUGGCUAUAAUGCUGCUGAGAGUGUAGAAAGCGGUAAUCAACCUAAGAAAGUUGCAGUAGGAGCAGACGAAGAUAAUUGCUUUCCGGCAGGAUGUCUUAUUUUAGACUGUAACGCAUUUUGUUCGACAAGAGGCUUUUCUGGCGGCAUUUGUGUACCGCCAUUAUUGUGUUGUUGCACUUUAGGAGUUUGAGAGAUCUAUGUUUGAUAAUUGUGCAUUCUAUAUAUGAUUGUACAAGUAUAUCAACAAAAUAGUCUUUAAGGUUCUUAUUGAGAAUUGCAUGUAAUAAAGUAAAACACCCUUGCACUUAUAUGAUGUUACAUACAUGAUUAGACUAAAACAAUCUUGAUGGUUGUGUAAUAA